UGUACGUUUUCUUCAAAUUCUUCGUAUGUUACACAUAGACAGGCAAGGAGGUACUUGGCGACUCCUUGGAUCAGUAGUAUUCAUUCAUCGGCAGGAGCUGAUAACUACUUUAUACAUAGGCUUCCUUGGACUUAUAUUUACCUCAUACUUUGUUUACUUGGCGGAGAAGGAUCACAUAGAUGCUAAGGGUAUUUGUCAGUUUGAGACCUACGCAGACGCUUUAUGGUGGGGUGUGGUAACCGUGACGACCAUCGGCUACGGAGACAAAGUCCCCAAUACUUGGCUUGGCAAGAUGAUUGCGUCCUGCUUCUCCAUAUUUGCGAUUUCUUUCUUUGCUUUAC